CCUGACGGUACCUAAGGAAUAAGCCACGGCUAACUACGUGCCAGCAGCCGCGGUAAUACGUAGGUGGCAAGCGUUAUCCGGAUUUACUGGGUGUAAAGGGCGUGUAGGCGGGAUUGCAAGUCAGAUGUGAAAACCACGGGCUCAACCUGUGGCCUGCAUUUGAAACUGUAGUUCUUGAGUGCUGGAGAGGCAAUCGGAAUUCCGUGUGUAGCGGUGAAAUGCGUAGAUAUACGGAGGAACACCAGUGGCGAAGGCGGAUUGCUGGACAGUAACUGACGCUGAGGCGCGAAAGCGGUGGGGAGCAAACAGGAUUAGAUACCCUGGUAGUCCACGCUGUAAACGAUGGAUACUAGGUGUGGGGGGACUGACCCCCUCCGUGCCGCAGUUAACACAAUAAGUAUCCCACCUGGGGAGUACGAUCGCAAGGUUGAAACUCAAAGGAAUUGAC
rnacentral:rRNA from 1 species